CAGAGGGGGCAAGCGUUGUUCGGAAUUACUGGGCGUAAAGGGCGCGUAGGCGGCCUGUUAAGUCGAACGUGAAGUCCCCGGGCUCAACCCGGGAACUGCGUCCGAUACUGGCAGGCUUGAAUCCGGGAGAGGGAUGCGGAAUUCCAGGUGUAGCGGUGAAAUGCGUAGAUAUCUGGAGGAACACCGGUGGCGAAGGCGGCAUCCUGGACCGGCAUUGACGCUGAGGCGCGAAAGCCAGGGGAGCAAACGGGAUUAGAUACCCCGGUAGUCCUGGCCCUAAACGAUGAAUGCUUGGUGUGGCGGGUAUCGAUCCCUGCCGUGCCGAAGCUAACGCAUUAAGCAUUCCGCCUGGGGAGUACGGUCGCAAGGCUG
rnacentral:rRNA from 1 species